rnacentral:rRNA from 1 species
UUCCUACGGGAGGCUGCAGUGGGGAAUCUUGCGCAAUGGGCGAAAGCCUGACGCAGCGACGCCGCGUGCGGGAAGAAGGCCUUCGGGUUGUAAACCGCUUUCAGGAGGGACGAAGCCACUCGGGUGAAUAGCCCAGAGGGUGACGGUACCUCCAGAAGAAGCCCCGGCUAACUACGUGCCAGCAGCCGCGGUAAUACGUAGGGGGCAAGCGUUGUCCGGAUUCAUUGGGCGUAAAGAGCGUGUAGGCGGCCAGGUAGGUCGGUUGUGAAAACUGGAGGCUCAACCUUCAGACGUCGACCGAAACCCCCUGGCUAGAGUCCGGGAGAGGAGAGUGGAAUUCCUGGUGUAGCGGUGGAAUGCGCAGAUAUCAGGAAGAACACCCGUGGCGAAAGCGGCUCUCUGGAACGGUACUGACGCUGAGACGCGAAAGCGUGGGGAGCGAACAGGAUUAGAUACCCUGGUAGUC